UGCCCCUAUAGACUAGCGGUUAGGUCACCACUCUUUCAAGGUGGCAGCAGGAGUUCGACUCUCCUUAGGGGCAA
rnacentral:tRNA from 1 species